CCUACGGGAGGCAGCAGUGAGGAAUAUUGGACAAUGGUCGGAAGACUGAUCCAGCCAUGCCGCGUGCAGGAAGACGGCCUUAUGGGUUGUAAACUGCUUUUGCAGGGGAAGAAUAAGGACUACGAGUAGUUUGAUGACGGUACUCUGCGAAUAAGCAUCGGCUAACUCCGUGCCAGCAGCCGCGGUAAUACGGAGGAUGCGAGCGUUAUCCGGAAUCAUUGGGUUUAAAGGGUCCGUAGGCGGGCUAAUAAGUCAGAGGUGAAAGCGCUCAGCUCAACUGAGCAACUGCCUUUGAAACUGUUAGUCUUGAAUGGUUGUGAAGUAGUUGGAAUGUGUAGUGUAGCGGUGAAAUGCUUAGAUAUUACACAGAACACCGAUAGCGAAGGCAUAUUACUAACAAUUAAUUGACGCUGAUGGACGAAAGCGUGGGGAGCGAACAGGAUUAGAUACCCUGGUAGUCCACGCUGUAAACGAUGGAUACUAGCUGUUUGGAGCAAUCUGAGUGGCUAAGCGAAUGUAAUAAGUAUCCCACCUGGGGAGUACGCACGCAAGUGUGAAACUCAAAGGAAUUGACGG
rnacentral:rRNA from 1 species